UACGUAGGGGGCGAGCGUUACCCGGAUUUACUGGGCGUAAAGAGCGCGUAGGCGGUCUUGUAAGUGUGAAGUGAAAUCUCCAGGGCUCAACCCGGAAACUGCUUUGCAUACUGCGAGACUAGAGGGAUGCAGAGGUUUGUGGAAUUCCUGGUGUAGCGGUGAAAUGCGUUGAUAUCAGGAGGAACACCCAUGGCGAAGGCAGCAAACUGGGCAUCAUCUGACGCUGAGGCGCGAAAGCGUGGGUAGCAAACAGG
rnacentral:rRNA from 1 species